rnacentral:rRNA from 1 species
AUACUUACUGGAGGUCCGAACCCACGCACGUUGAAAAGUGCGGGGAUGAGGUGUGGGUAGCGGAGAAAUUCCAAUCGAACUUGGAGAUAGCUGGUUCUCUCCGAAAUAGCUUUAGGGCUAGCCUCGAGGUAAAGAGUCAUGGAGGUAGAGCACUGUUUGGACUAGGGGCCCUUCUCGGGUUACCGAAUUCAGAUAAACUCCGAAUGCCAUGUACUUAUACUCGGGAGUCAGACUGCGAGUGAUAAGAUCCGUAGUCGAAAGGGAAACAGCCCAGACCACCAGUUAAGGUCCCCAAAUAUAUGUUAAGUGGAAAAGGAUGUGGGGUUGCUUAGACAACCAGGAUGUUGGCUUAGAAGCAGCCACCAUUGAAAGAGUGCGUAAUAGCUCACUGGUCGAGUGACCCCGCGCCGAAAAUGUACCGGGGCUAAACAUAUUACCGAAACUGUGGAUGAACCUCUUUAGAGGUUCGUGGUAGGAGAGCGUUCUAAGGGCGGUGAAGUCAGACCGGAAGGACUGGUGGAGCGCUUAGAAGUGAGAAUGCCGGUAUGAGUAGCGAAAGAAGGGUGAGAAUCCCUUCCACCGAAUAUCUAAGGUUUCCUGAGGAAGGCUCGUCCGCUCAGGGUUAGUCGGGACCUAAGCCGAGGCCGAUAGGCGUAGGCGAUGGACAACAGGUAGAGAUUCCUGUACCAGUGCUAAUUGUUUAACCGAUGGGGUGACACAGAAGGAUAGGGAAUCGCACGAAUGGAAAUGUGCGUCCAAGCAGUGAGUGUGAGAAGUAGGCAAAUCCGCUUCUCGCGAAGCAUGAGCUGUG